rnacentral:rRNA from 1 species
UACGUAGGGUGCAAGCGUUUGUCCGGAAUUAUUGGGCGUAAAGAGCUCGUAGGUGGCCUGUCGCGUCGCUGUGAAAGCCCGGGGCUCAACUCCGGAAUUGCCUUUGAGACUGGGAGGCUUGAUCGUCGGAGAGGUGAGUGGAAUUCCGAGUGUAGAGGUGAAAUUCGUAGAUAUUCGGAAGAACACCAGUGGCGAAGGCGGCUCACUGGACGACUGAUGACGCUGAGGUGCGAAAGCGUGGGGGAGCAAACAGG